AGAGACAGCAGUAGCCGCGGGAAUACGGAGGGUGCAAGCGUUAAUCGGAAUUACUGGGCGUAAAGCGCACGCAGGCGGUUUGUUAAGUCAGAUGUGAAAUCCCCGAGCUUAACUUGGGAACUGCAUUUGAAACUGGCAAGCUAGAGUCUUGUAGAGGGGGGUAGAAUUCCAGGUGUAGCGGUGAAAUGCGUAGAGAUCUGGAGGAAUACCGGUGGCGAAGGCGGCCCCCUGGACAAAGACUGACGCUCAGGUGCGAAAGCGUGGGGAGCAAACAGGAUUAGAGACCCCUGUAGUCCCUGUCUCUUAUAC
rnacentral:rRNA from 1 species